rnacentral:rRNA from 1 species
UACGUAGGGGGGCUAGCGUUGUCCGGAUUUAUUGGGCGUAAAGAGCGUGUAGGCGGCCAGGUAGGUCUGCUGUGAAAACUCGAGGCUCAACCUCGAGACGUCGGCGGAAACCAUCUGGCUAGAGUCCGGAAGAGGAGAGUGGAAUUCCUGGUGUAGCGGUGAAAUGCGCAGAUAUCAGGAAGAACACCCGUGGCGAAGGCGGCUCACUGGCCCGGUACUGACGCUGAGGUGCGAAAGCGUGGGGAGCAAACAGG